GCAAGACGAGUCGCAGGCAGGAUCCGGCCACGCUGGCCAAGGCCACUCUCGGCCUCUUGGAAGGGGGCUGAGGAAAAGACCCCGGAAAAGACGCUGGCUUUGGGGUGGGGAGAACCUCUUCUUCCCCUUCUUCUCCUCUGGCAAUCAUCAAUCACAGAAAAUUAGUCACCACAACAUCUGCCUCGCGCCAUAAAAGGUCAAGGAAAGGGAUUGCAAAAACACGCACAGAGAGAGAGAGAAAAUAGGAGACGCAGCAGCAGAAGGGAGAGAGGGAGGACAGAACCCAGAAAGGAAAGACGUCCAGGCGCGCGCGCGCAAAGUUUUCUCUCCGCGGAUCUCCUCUCUCGGCCGGCUUUCGGGUCGCCAUUGGUGGUUCGGCGUGGCAAUCAAUACUUUGUAGCGGGGAAGGAAGCAACAAGCGGCGGCCGAGGAGGCUUGGCAGAACCGGGGGGAAGGCGCGCCUGCCCGGCACAGAGCGCACGGGGGCUCCGUUUGCGCUUCCUCCAGCCGCCUCUCUCUCUCUUUGCAGCCUCUAUUGUUUGUCCAGCCCUCCAGGGUGGGAGAUUUCUCCUCCUCUCGGGAUUUGUGCAGAGUUUGCUGCAACUCCCCUUUGUCCUCGGCGCGCUCUCGGCUCUCGGCUCUCCGCCCCGUCCAGCCCUCUCUCCUCCAGGGCGCUCUCUCUCUCCGCUUCUGCAAGCCAGGAAACUUCGGCAGUUUGCAAAGAGGGAGAAGAAGGAGGCAUGGGGGGCCGGAGGAGGCUGAGCGAGGCCGGGCCGGGCUGCUGCAGGAGCUGGUCCUCGGAUCCGCUGGGCCAGGCGGCGCCGGCUUGGCUUGCGCUGCUAGUGCCGUUGUUGCUGUUGCUGCUGGCGGCUCACGGCCAGGAGGAGCCUUCGUGCAAAGGAGCCUACGACCUGUACUUCGUCCUGGACAAGU